rnacentral:SRP_RNA from 1 species
GCCGGGCGUGGUGGCGUGUGCCUGAAGUCCCAGCUACUCCCGAGGCUGGAGGAUAUCUUGAGUCCAGGAGUUCUGGGCUGUAGUCCACCAUGCCGAUUGGGUGUCCGCACUAAGUUCGGCAUCAAUAUGGUGACCUUCUGAGAGUGGGGGACCACCAGGUUGCCUAAGGAGGGGUCAACCGGCCCAGGUCAGAAAUGGAACAGGUCAAAACUCCCGUGCUGAUCAGUAGUGGGAUUGCGCCUGUGAAUAUCCACUGCACUCCAGCCUGGGCAAUAUAGCGAGACCCCGU